UCUGGAAUCAGGGAUAAUCCCGACAAAGAUUCAUAAAUUAGUCAAAAGCAGGCAGCAUACAGCUCGUAAAAACGCCGGAACAGAAAGUGGAUUACCGUAUCAGGCAAAUGGCAUUGAAGCUCACGGAUAAUUUCAUGUAUGGAUGUGGGGGGCGACGCAUUGUCGAUUUUAUGCUAAAGGCUUCGCCGCUCUGAUAACAGCCAAAGGUCGGGAGAUCUUGGAGGGCACGAAACGCUUGGUUGAGAAACUGUAAUACGAAAUAAUUUACGGGGACCGUACCGAUUCUCUGAGGAUAAACAUCAACAUUUUGGAAUACAACGACGUUUUUUUCGAUCGGCAGAAAGAUUAUGCGCAAAGUCAACAACCGAUAGGUAGAAUAAGAAAGCCGGAUUAGAUAUCGACAAGGUAUUCCGGUAUUUAUUGUUGUUACAAAACAAGAAAUACGCUGCAGUUAUGAAAUUGCCAAAUGAUCAAGUACAAUUGGCGCCAAAGGUUUGGAUAUUGUAAGAAGAGAUUGGUACCCAGUGGCCUAGCUGCGACUGGAAACAUUCUGAUCGACAGCUAUCAUUUAGCAUGAUGUGUCGACUAAUCAGAACUGUAAAUUACCACCCUGGAAAUACGCAAACGUAGUUAAAAUAUAUACAAAGUGUAAUUCAAUUUGCCAUGAGAAAAGCAAUUGCCAAGUACUA